rnacentral:rRNA from 1 species
UACGAGGGGGGCGAGCGUUGUUCGGAAUUAUUGGGCGUAAAGGGUGCGUAGGCGGUUCGGUAAGUUUCGUGUGAAAUCUUCGGGCUCAACUCGAAGCCUGCACGAGAUACUGCCGGGCUUGAGUGUGGGAGAGGUGAGUGGAAUUUCCGGUGUAGCGGUGAAAUGCGUAGAGACCCGGAGGAACACCAGUGGCGAAGGCGGCUUCCUGGUCUGCGACUGACGCUGUGGCGCGAAAGCUAGGGGAGCGAACGGG